ACAAUUUGUAAAGUAUAUUUUUAAAAAGGACCAAAAUGUUACAAAGACAAGGGGAGAUCGGUCUCCUCCGUGGGUUUUGGUUGGGGGCUUAGAGGAUGUGGGAGUGGGCUUGGACUAAUGGGCUUGGCCCAGAUUGGCUCAGCCUACUUCUAAAAUUUCUUUUUAAUUUGUCGAUAACUUCAUUUUGACAUAGCAAAAAGUCGAAAACCAGACGAAAUUAUCUCAAAUUAUAAAUACAAACAGAAAUUUCUGAGUAGCUUUUUGGGUCUUACGUACAGCGUGGUUAUUGCUAGCAUCGACCAUCACUGAACGUGCAUUCAUGCAGGCAGCAGCUCGAGAUCACACCCUUCCUCUGGGCUCGAGGUCGAAGCGCGCGGCGGCGACGGACACGACGUUCAUGGCCUGCAGGCUCCCCGCGCAGAUCCGCUUCCCGGCGCCGAACGCCAGCGUCUUGUACCUGUCCGCCACCUCGAAGCCCUCGCCGCCAAGGAACCUCUCCGGCGCCCACUCCUCCGGCGAGUCCCACGCCCUCUUGUCCAUGUGGCAGCCGUACACGUUGAUCAUGAGUUCGGUGCCCGCGGGGACGUCGUAGCCGGCGAGCGUGGUGUCGCGGUGGACGAGCCUCGGGGGCAGCACGGGCACCGGGGAGUGGAACCGCAGCGUCUCGUGGAAGACGGCGUUGAGGUACGGCAGCCGGGGAAGGUCCUCCUCGGUCACCGUCCGGCAGCCGCAGACCUCGCGGAUCUCCUCGAGAAGCCUUUCCUGCAUGAUCGAGAUGUUCAGGUGUCAGUUUGGUUUCUGAAAUGCAUGCAUCUGACACAAAGAUAUUAACUUUAGGUCCUUCGAAUCAAAAGAAUAAAAGAACAGAGGAAUAUUUAAAAUAUAGGAUUCUAAUAGGAAUGUAAGUGUAAAAAACAAGAUUGCAAAACACAGAAAAAAUCGUACAAAUGGCCGUCUGAUUGGACCACAGGAAAAACAUAGGAAUUUGAGAAGAGAUAAAGACUCAAAUGAUUUUUUGCAUGAGGUUCUAUCUCUUAUUAAAUUUUCUCUAAAACUUAUAUGGAAAUAGGUAUUCUAUAGGAAUUUUAUGAUUCAUUCCUUUAAUUCAAAUGACUUUGUACGAAAAAUUCCUAUAGGAAUAAGAUCCUCUAAAAUUCCUAUGGGGCCUUAAUAUCAAAUCAGUCCAUUAGUUUCUUGCCUGUUUGUCUGGGUUCUUGGCAAUCUCGUACAUAAUCCACUCCGUGUUCACCAGGACAGUAUCCGCAGAAGCAAGGAUGGACUCCCACAGAAACAGCAACAUUUGGUAGUCAUCUGCUGUCAGCGGUGUGCUGUUAUGUUCCAGCAAGAAGUCCAUGUAGCAUGUCCUUGCCUGCAUCCAUGUAUCACAACAAUUCUUCAGAUAUAAUCUUCAGACAUAAGUUCUUUUCUUAUUUUUUUUAUCCCUUUCUUCGAUACAAACUAUUAUAUAACUAAAAGUUGCAAGUACCUCUCCGCGUUCAAUUCUCUCCUUCUGCUUCUUGAUCAACGCGCGCAUCACAGCGUUUCGUCUUGCUUCUGCAGUAAACAGCGCUGUCUCGAAGCUCUUGUUUGGGAUCCAGCUGAGGUAGGGGAAGAAGUCUCUCCAGUCAGCCUCAAUUGCACUCAUCAGCAUGUCAUGCACAAGGACAUGGAAGAUUUCGUCCUUGGAUAUCUCCCUCCCAAACUCUUCCACAUACACUGAACUCACAUCCUCACCUAAAGUCUGAAAAUUGCAACAUUCAUGAUCAAUUGAUCAGCACGAUUGUUUCUUUGUUCAUGACAAUCAUGAUCAGUGGUACUAAUCAGUCUGGAAUUGAAACAAGCGUGAUCAGUUCCAGAAAUAACAAAUGGAACAUUUUGGAGAGUUUCAAGUUCAGAGGCAAUACAGACCUGGGUCAAGGACAGGCCGAAUAGCUCAGUAAUGUAAACGUCUCUGAAGUUGAGAGGGGAAUGUGGGUCAGCAGUAACCAAUUUAUGCAAAUUGCUUAACACGUUACUUACCAUCCUUUCUCUUGCAUCGCGAAACUGUUUCUGAAAUUUGUACGACCAUUGCAUUGUCAGAGCUUAACUAAUUGAGCGUACGUGCUCUCGAUGAUCUAAAAACAUAGGAUGAAAAAUAAACUACGAGGUAAAAACCUGAAAAUCAACUUAAAUUUAAAGUAUAAAAUUUAAAUUUUGGGUUACAAUUAGCAUAAGUAUAAUCAGAGAGAUGAGGGUGCAAAGUAGUUGAGAUUUAUUACCUGGGCAGAAUAACCCAACAUGCUCAACAUAAUGUUACGUUUCGCCAUUUUCUGGAAGUCACCGAAGUCGCUCACAGCGACCAUUCUAUUACGACUUAGCACAGACAUGGCUUUAGGCAACUUCCGAGAAGAUAUGGAUGAGAAUUUUUCAACCAUAGCCUGAAAAAGUGGCACAGACUAUCAAUUUUUGUUAUUUAUAGUCCAAUAUAAGAUCAUUAAUAAUAUCUUGAUUUAUACAAUCCCAUCAAGUAAUCAUACAAGAAAAAUAAAACAAAACAUAAUAUAUAAUGCAAUCUUAUGUAAAACCAAUCACCACACUUGCCUAAAGUAAAUAGAGAAUAUGUGCAAAUUAGCAUGUAACUUCUGAAAAAGGACAACAUGCAGGUACCUCCUUGGCUACUUCAGUUGAAUUGAGUACAACUACCGAGGAUGCUCCGGUCUUUAUAGUGUAUAUUGGCCCAUAAGUUUCAGACCAUUUUGCAAAUGUCUGAUGGGGCUUCUUUUCUUUCAAUUGAUGCAGAUUUCCAAUAAUGGGUAAACCAGGGAUAGCUGCAUUACAAAAAUAUUAAUAAUAUGAGUACUAAUUAAACCCCACUGUAGUGGUGUAAAGUUCGGAAUGAGUUUUGUUGGUAAGUUGUCUCUGCAUAAAUAUUUUAAUUAAUAUUCACUGAUUCUAGCUAUCUUUCCUUUCCCUGUGUCAUUUUUGAGUAGGAAUACCAUGCCAGUUGUGCACAUAGUAGAUGAUGACAUAUGGAGUAAAGUAAACAUAAUAAGAUGAGCUAAGAGAUUAAAUGGAUGCAUACACUAUUUUGCACUCUCAAUCCACGGAAGUCUUAUUAAGCAAUUUUACGGUUCUUAAGAAAGUACCAAAAGGAACCAUUUUUUCUAUGUAAAAUUUGAUACCUCCAUAUCUAAGGUAUCGAGAGACUAAGUUUUACACUAAAAUUUUUAUACCUCUUAGUACUUUACUAUAAAAUUGCUCUAUAUGAAAGAAUCCAGAAUAACUACUUCUAUUUGCUAGUUAAUAUUUUCAAAACUAAGUUACAUGAAAACAUAUCUAAAAUAUUUAAAUAUUUUUGGCUCUUAAUCACAAAAAUAGAUUUAUGAUCAGAAUUAUAAUAUGAAUCAGAAUUACAGUGAAUAACAUAUCGAAAGAACACCAUGCUGCAAUAGUACCAGGGGAAUAAAACUCACCGUAAAUAUAUUACUAGAUCUUAUAUAUACUCCAUCAGAAAUAUUGAUAAUAAUAUAAUCAUUUUUGUACUAUUAUACCUAAGUAUUCCCUUCGUUUGUACUAUUUAUCGGUUUAUCCUAAUUCAACUAUUUUUAUUUUUACCAUAAAUUUCUUGAAAUUUAUAAAGUGCAAAAUUACAUGGUUUAUACUUUUAUAUUACCAUGGGACAUUAUUUCAUAAUAUAUAAUUUUUAUUUUUAAAAUAUACGAAUUUCUAGAAAUUAAUGGUCAAAGGUACUAGAAAUGUUUGACUUAAAAGAAUACUAGAUUUGACAUGUUUUCAACCUUGUCAGCUCUUUCUUAAAUGUAAGUCAUCUUAUAUAUUUUAGUCACUACUUCAUCUUGUCUGCUCUGUUUAUUACUAUGAAUAGGUACUAUCCAUCUUAAAACGGAAAAUAUGUUGUGCACAUGAGCUUUCCGAUGUACAAUAACUAAUGAAUAUCACAGAAAAUUCUAGAAAAACUUUUGAAUGUACUUCUAAUGGUGUUACACCUAUGUAUAAAGUUUUAUCUUCAAAUUAUUAUAUAUAGAGAGCAACAAAGAAAAACACAAUUGUAAUAUUUGUACUCUCAAAACUAUCUGAUUUUUUUUUGACUUUAUACAUAGAUGUGUAACUAGGUGUACUGCGGAUGAACGGGGAACGGACAGUGAAAGACAACUGCGGUCUGAUCGAUCCAACACGAGAGAGAGAGAAGAGAGACGGAUGGUGUGGGCAGUUUACCAGGAGGCGCGUUGGGGCGGUUCUUGGGCUGCUGCGCCACGGUGAGCGUGGCCGCCNNNNNNNNNNNNNNNNNNNNNNNNNNNNNNNNNNNNNNNNNNNNNCACCAGAUCGAUCACUCACACACGCACUAGCUGGGAUAUACUACUGCACCACAACGAACUCUGCUUGCCGCUCUAUGAUUUAUAAGGGCGACGUACUGGCCGUUUCCGUCCGUCGACGGACGAACGAGGAAUGAAUGAAUAUGCGUGGAAGUGUCCUCGAUCGUCCGUCGCUGUACGAAUGUUGAACAUUAUUUUGCUGUUGUUAUCAACAAAAAAACAUCGGCCGGGUAGGACCGGCGACGCAUGCACAUGGUGCCAUGUGGCGUUUAAUUAAUUUCUUCUGGGUAGGCUAAGUUCUUUUGUUGGAUGUAAUACGAAAGAUUAUGUACUUAUGUGAUAGCUACUCAUGGUAUAAAUAAUGGAUCUAACUAUUAUAAAAUUUAAAAUGUAUUUUUACGAAUGUGAGGUAAUCAAAUUUUAUAUAGAAUAUGAAUAUUUUUUUGCAAAAAAAACAUCUUUUAGUGAUUUAGAGAGCGUGCACGUAAAAACUGAAGAACAAUGUAUUCAAAAGAAUGGGAUGCAGCCUUAGUAGUAUGUGCUACCUCUGUUUCAGCGUAAAAUUUUUUACCAUUGUUCAAAUUUAUAUGAUGCUAAUAAAUCUAUACUAUAUAAAUAAUAUAUCUUAGAACAUCUUCAACAUAAUUGCUACAUGACUCUCCAAGCAAAAUUUUAGCAAUUUUGAUAAAAAUUCAACCUCUAACAGACUUAUCAAACGGAUGGCUAGCUGUUCCUCCUACUUGCAAAAUUUGGCCAUCCAAAAUUGUCUUGGAAAUUAUGUGCCCCACGUAUAUUGCGUAGAUGUUGUAAAUGGAGAUACUGUUAUAGUAUAUAGUCAAUAUGAAAAGAAAUCUUUUUGACCAGUUAUCUAAAUAGAUAAAUGGAGAGCUAAAAAUAGAGAUACUCUUGCUUAAUAUAUAAAUAUAGAAAUAGCUAAAACAUCUUAUAUUACAUAAUACAGGGAGCAGUAAUUAUUCUGAGCUUAGCUCGAUAACGUACGCAAGCAUGCCGAGAUAUAUCGUGCGGUCAGUUCACGUGCUUCGAACAAUUGAUGCAUGCAUAUACUCUUGACCUUGUUUUGUUGUUUUCCUCUUAUCUCUAUAUAUCUAUACACGCAUAAAACCAAAAGUUCAAUAUACACUAAGCCACGUCACCCAAAAAUCUUGACCACCGAUCAUCUUUUGGAGGACGAGAUGAAGGUCUCGAGAUUGAUCAUAUGAAAUUGAAAUUAAGCAGUUGGAAAGGAAAAAAAAAAUGUUAGUAGGUGGUAGACUGGUUUUGAUUAAUUCAGUUUUAAUUAGUCUUGCUAUGCUUAUGAUCUUUUUUUUUCGAAGUUCCUAGAGUACCUGAAAAAAAUUAUUAUUAUAGAUCCAAAUAUAUAUAUAUAUAGGAAAAUUAGAUCUUACUACCAGGUGUAGUUACUCUCUGCACGUUCAUGAUGAAAAAUAUUUCCAUAACUGUUUCUACUCCCACCAAACAAAAAGUAUGGACACUAUUAAAUCUCAUGUGAAUGAUAUAACUACAUGUAUAGAGUUUGUACUUUCUGUUGGAAGAGAUAAGAAAUAUGUAUAGAGGUGUUUCUGCACGUUAGACGCGUAAAGAGAGUAGUUACACCUGUUAGUAGGAUAGAGGCUUAUAUAUAUAUAUAUAUAUAUAUANNNNNNNNNNNNNNNNNNNNNNNNNNNNNNNNNNNNNNNNNNNNNNNNNNNNNNNNNNNNNNNNNNNNNNNNNNNNNNNNNNNNNNNUAUAUAUAUAUAUAUAUGCAAAGUGAUGGUCAUACGAAAAAGUAUAGUAUGAUUAGAUGAGAUAUCAUAUGUCAACCAAAGGAUCAUGGUGAAUUUGAUGUUAAAAACGUAGAUAUACGAAGUUAAGUGUCUCUAAAUGGUUGUUUAAGUUAUGUAGUGUGGAUGACAUAUGGCAUAAUUUACUUAGUAGGAAAUAUAUGAAGAAUCAAAUAAUCACACAAGUUCAGAGAAAACCGGGGGACUUCACCUUUGAGCAAAGCCUAUAAAAGUUGAAGACAUGUUUUUAAGUAUGAGAACUUUUGUGAUUAAGAAUGGAAAACGUGUUAGUUUUUGGGAGGAUAGGAGGAUUGAUAAUGAUUCUUUUGUAGAGCAGUAUCUGUCUCUAUAUAACAUUGUUUUCAAGAAAAAUGCAUCCAUAGCAACUGUGUUUAAUUCUGUCUCAUUAAAUAUAUAUAUGUUUUUGAAGAGCCUGAGUGAGUCAACAUAUCUUUUUAUUGAAUAAUCUGGUUAUUAAAAUUGUGCAUAUAUAUAUUUGUUGAUUUGGUUUGGAGCCUAAGUAGGCAUUAUCAAAUUUUGGUACAUAGGUAUAUUUUUGCAAAAUUGGGCAAGACCAAAUUAUGCUUGGUUAGGAGGCAAAAUUGACCAUCUCAACUAUUUGACUUAUUUUUCACACAUACAUAUAUACACACACAACAUACACAUAUAUACACGUACAUAUAUCAAGUGGACGUGGCUCAAGUAAAUUACAUGUGGCAAAAUUUGUUUAUCCGUAUUUAAAUUCUAGAUUUGAUAUACGUGCUUAUAUUGACGAUAGAUUAUUUAUUAGUGAUAGACGAUGUAUCCAUCUAUAACUAUGUCCAUCUAUAACUAUGUGCUCGACCACGGUGAUUCCAUCCAUUUCGAGAUACAUGUAGUUUAGUAGUGGGAGGUGUUUACUGGGGUAGGAUAUAUAUACGUGACUUAUAUAGGGGUAAUGUACGAGAGGGAAUGUAUCAACUAUAUUCAUGGAAAAACUAUACAAUGUGACUAUGACUGGCAGUCAAACAACGUAACCUAAAUUGACUAGUCAGUCAUGCUGUGCGCAGCACUGCAGGUUGCGGUCCAUGCCAAGACGAACACUUUUAUACUCCCUCCGUCCGUAAAUAUUUGACGUCGCUUUUUUUAUAUACGUUUAAUCAUUUGUCUUAUUUAAUUUUUUUAAAAAAUAUGUAAAUCUAUAUAUAUGCAUAAAAAUAUACUUAACAAUAAGUGAAAUGAUAAAAAAAUAAUUAAUAAUUUUGAAAUUUUUUUAAUAAAACGAAUGGUCAAACUUGCAUAAAAAAUCAACGGUGUCAAACAUUUAGGGACGGAGGUAGUAUGUUGCACGUUUUUCUCUCUAAAUUAUACUGAGUACUUAGCUCGCCAACUGCCACCAUUUUUUUUUCUUGUUUCUAUACUUUAUAAGCUAAAAUUUAAAUUCUCAACUUUACAUUCAGAGUUGAUUCAAGAUUUUUCAUCGAAGUUUAUUUUCCAGCCUAGCCUUUUAGAGUGCUAAGAAUACACUUAUAAAAUUUUUACUCAUAAUUUUUUAUUUUAUAAAUAUAACGGUUGAUUUCUUUCAUAAAAAAAAGACAAACAAUCACUUCGCAUGUCAGUGAGUCCAAAUGACCAGCACACAGAUUUGCAAAAACUAGGCUCAGCUGGUGUGUUUUGUUCAAACCAUGUGUUACUGCUCAGGAGAAAGUCCAUAACAUGUGCGUUAACACGAUUGAAUAAGCUGAAAGUAGUCGUGUUGAAUGAUCUACCUCAGAAACUAAAUUUUCUAUAGGUUACGUCAAUUUUGUUCAUUGUAUUUUUCAUAUAUCGGCCAUUUGCGAUGGUCUACCUGCAGGAAUAUUUUAGGUCUCAUCGUAUUGACAAUUCCGUAUAAGCAUAUACUGAAAUUUAAAUUGAUUGAUUUAAUUUAUUUAGUUUGGAAAUACUAUAAUAUGCAUAGAUGAGUCAUACAUAAUACUCUAAUAAAAAUAAAUAUUUAUUUAUCGUUUAUACUUUAAUAGAAAAUUAUAGGAAAUAUUAAUUUAAAAAACCAUGUCGUUGUCAAUAACAACAAAGACUAUAAACUGAGGGAGUAUAUGACUUGGUGUUUCUUUUGAGUUAAUUACUCUCAACUCGUAGAGAUAAAUGUCGACGUCAAGAUCAUUAAUUGUUCACAUGUUAGCGACCAUGUCGUUUUUUUUAUGCUUAAUCUUGACUUUUGACUUUCAAGUUAAUUUUAGAGUUUUUUAUCGCACUUUGUUUUCUAGCUUUUGCUUUUAAAUUACUAAAACACUCAUAUAUUUAUAAAUUAUUUUUUAUUUACAAAUAUUUUGUUUUGCUUUUUCUUUCUCUCUCAAAAAAGAGGGAAAACAAACGAGGACCACCAACCAUAACGAACUAUAUUCUUCGUGUGAUAGGCUUCUAGCUAGCUGUCUGUUUCAAAUACGUGAUUCAACGAGUCACGUGAGAACAUGUAUAAUAAUAGACUACAAGUCAGCUUUAAACAUAUUUUAAAAAGGCAAAAGAUGUGAUAAAAGACUAUCACAGACCCUAAGAUAACAUGUGUGUAUGACAUGUGUGACUAGAUAUUAAGUGUAAUAUAUGUUUUGUAGUUAACUAUUAGAUGAAUUGAUUAUUAGAAUGACUACAGAUGUUAGUAGUUAGCUAUGCUAUUAAACUUGUUGUGAGAUCUAUUUCCUAAUUAAGCUUCUUAAAGGACAACUUGUAAAAAUAUAUUUCUAAAAGGGUCAAGGGGCAGGCCGGGAAUUUUUUGAAUUGUAAAUUUUAUUUAUUAAAAUAAUUUGCAAAUUUAAUUCUGUGUUUCAGAAAAUCAGAAAACUAACAUACCGCAACAUACCGCCAUCCUCUAGGAGGGCGAAAAGAUGACGUGACAAACGACCACUCAGCCGCAAGGGAGGACCGAGAAUUUUGCAAUUGAACUGAAAAUUUUUCGAUUAAACCACGGUUUCAUACAUAUAUGUAUAACAUAUGCAAUUGUUUAAUCACAAGUACUAUCUUGGCUCACUCUCGUAGGAGUAUAUUUCUUCCUAUGUGAGGAUUUGAACUCCGGUCUCUCAGACAAAAGAGGGAGACGGUGACCACUGAGCCAAGAAAAUAUUUGUGAUUAAAAAAUUUAAUACAUUAUAAUAUAUGUAUCAAAUCACUGUUAAAUCGCAAAAUUCCCGCGCGGCAAGAUGAAUUUCACAUAUAGUCCCUUGCCGCCGGCAAUGGGCUAAAUAUAAAAUUCGUCGUGCCGCCGUUUUCGGCCGUCCCUCGCGGUCGAGUGGUUGUUUGCCACAUCACCUUUUUGCCUUCUUAGAGGGCGGCUGGAGGUUAGUUUUAGGAUAUUUUGAAAUACAAAAUUAAUUUAUAGAUUAUUUAAUAAAUAAAAUUCAAAAUUCAAAAAAAUCGGCAGGCCGGCAGGGGAAGAUCGUUCUCCUCCGUGGCCGUGGGUUUUGGUUGGGGGCUAGAGGAUGCGGGAGUGGGCUAGACUGAUGGGCUUGGCCCAGAUUGGCUCAGCCUACUUCUAAAAUUUCUUUUUUUUUCCCUUUUAUUUAUCGAUAACUCCAUUUUGACAUAGCAAAGUCGAAAACGAAACGAAAUUAUCUCAAAUUAUAAAUACAAACAGAAACAAAAUACAAACUUCUGAGUAGUUUUUGGGUGUUACGUACAGCGUGGUUAUUGCUAGUAUGGAUCAUCACUGAACGUUCCAUGCAGCUAGCAGCUCGAGAUCACACCCUUCCUCUGGGCUCGAGGCGGACGUGCAGCGGCUCAAGCUUCAGGGCGGUGAACUGCAUCGUGUCCUCCUUGCCGCCGUCGCCCUCCCGCAGCGCCCACCGGAACUCCU
rnacentral:lncRNA from 1 species